rnacentral:rRNA from 1 species
UACGUAGGGUCCAAGCGUUAAUCGGAAUUACUGGGCGUAAAGCGUGCGCAGGCGGCUAUGCAAGACAGAUGUGAAAUCCCCGGGCUCAACCUGGGAACUGCAUUUGUGACUGCAUGGCUAGAGUACGGUAGAGGGGGGAUGGAAUUCCGCGUGUAGCAGUGAAAAUGCGUAGAUAUGCGGAGGAACACCGAUGGCGAAGGCAAUCCCCUGGACCUGUACUGACGCUCAGGCACGAAAGCGUGGGGGAGCAAACAGG